ACGGAAGGCAGCAGCUAAGAAUAUUCCGCAAUGGACGAAAGUCUGACGGAGCGACGCCGCGUGGAUGAUGAAGGUCGGAAGAUUGUAAAAUCCUUUUAUAACUGAGGAAUAAGCAGUGUGAGAGAAACGCAUUGCGGUGACUGUAGGUUAUGAAUAAGCAACGGCUAAUUACGUGCCAGCAGCCGCGGUAACACGUAAGUUGCGAGCGUUGUUCGGAAUUAUUGGGCGUAAAGGGCAUGUAGGCGGUUUUGCAAGCUUGAUGUGAAAGGCAGGAGCUUAACUCCUGGGCUGCGUUGAGAACUGCAUGACUAGAGUCACUGAGGGGCAAUCAGAAUUCCUGGUGUAGGGGUGAAAUCUGUAGAUAUCAGGAAGAAUACCAAUGGCGAAGGCAGGUUACCAGCAGAUGACUGACGCUGAGGUGCGAAGGUGCGGGGGGCAAACAGGAUUAGAUACCCUGGUA
rnacentral:rRNA from 1 species